CAUGUACCCGCCGCACCCUCUCACGGCGCAGUACGGGGUGAAAGUCCUGCGGUCCUUCCCUCCGGACGCCAUCCUCUUCUACAUCCCCCAGAUUGUGCAGGCCCUCAGGUACGACAAGGUAAGCCUGCACCUGCAUGGCCGUCCUCUUCACUCACAGAGUGUGUUCCACACCAGCUUGUGCCCGGUCUGUCCCCAGCCCUCACAGGCUCCUCAGAGCCUCCUCAGGGGCAGGGCUGCCCAGCAGUCCCCUUGCUCCCCCUACCCCAGGCCCUGUGAUUGUCCCUUGAUAC
rnacentral:lncRNA from 1 species